AACGAACGCUGGCGGCAUGCCUAACACAUGCAAGUCGAACGAGGCCUUCGGGUCUAGUGGCGCACGGGUGCGUAACGCGUGGGAACCUGCCCUUAGGUUCGGAAUAACUCCCCGAAAGGGGUGCUAAUACCGGAUAAUGUCUUCGGACCAAAGAUUUAUCGCCUUUGGAUGGGCCCGCGUUGGAUUAGCUAGUUGGUAGGGUAAAAGCCUACCAAGGCGACGAUCCAUAGCUGGUCUGAGAGGAUGAUCAGCCACACUGGGACUGAGACACGGCCCAGACUCCUACGGGAGGCAGCAGUGGGGAAUAUUGGACAAUGGGCGAAAGCCUGAUCCAGCAAUGCCGCGUGAGUGAUGAAGGCCUUAGGGUUGUAAAGCCCUUUUACCCGGGAUGAUAAUGACAGUACCGGGAGAAUAAGCUCCGGCUAACUCCGUG
rnacentral:rRNA from 1 species